GACAGCCUGAAGUCUUCGCAGGUUGAACAAUUUCCCAUCGGUUCUGUACCUCAGAUUAACUCCCACUGAGCUGUUCUAAAAGGCAUCUGACAGCAUGGCUGAAAACAUCCUGCUAAACAGGGCAGCCUUGUUUAUUGCCGUUAGUGAGAGGGAAGGCCUCUGAGGCUCCACCGUUACUCUGAACAUGAGCUGCCAUGCCAUCAUGGAACUGCCAUACCAUCAGAAUAAAUCUGUCAGGGCACCCAAACUUCGACAUAAUGCACCAUAAUCCUUCACGACUAACUGUGUCAAAAGCCUUGGUGAGAUCCACAAAGGUGGUGUAUAGUUCACAAUUCUGCUCCUGACAUUUCUCCUGGACCUGUCAAACUGCAAAGAUCAUGUCCACCAUGCCAUGCACUUUGCGGAAACCACACUGUGUCUCAGGUAGCAUGCCCUGUUCCAGAUGGUCAGUCAGGCAAUUUAGCAACACUCGUGCAAAGAUCUUGCCUGCGAUGGAGAGAAGUGAUAUUCCUCUAUAAUUAUCGCAGACUUGUCGAUUUCUUUCCUCUUGUAGAGGUGCAUAAUGGACGCAUCUUUCAGUUCCUGGGGAAUGGAACCUUGUUUCCAGAUAAGAUCGGAACAACUGGACAUUUCAUUGUCCAAACAAGUCUUCAACCAAUUUAGAAGAAGAGGAAUCUGUCAACCAUAGUAAAUGUGGCCUAACAGAAGAUCAGAACUCCUUUAUGAAGAAAGUGGACAAAAUAAUUGAAAUCUGGAAAAGAAUUAAGGCUGCAGUCCACAAAAACUCUGAUUUGUGGUUGUUAUCAAAUGCUACAUGUAGACUGGAUUUGACAUUUUUGUCCACCUUUUAAGUCCUUCCCACAGACCUGCAAUAGGCAGAUGUUGUUUGAUGACAUAAAGAUCUCAUUGCAAGAUGUAAGGUGUUCCAAGCAAUGGAUGAUGGAAUUCUUUCCUGCUCAGAAAAUAUUCAACAGCAAAACCCUGUAUACACAAACUUGAUAUAUGCUAAAAAUCAUAAUAUGCAUAAAAUAUAAAAAGUUGCAUUUUAAACAGUUAAUCUUGUAUUUCCUGUGAAAACUUAUGAAGAUAUAUACUGAAGUGUUUUUUUUUUACAUAUUUUGCAUUAAUUCUUAUAUUAGAUCCUUUUUGUUUUCUGAUAGCCUGCUGUUGUCUUUUACAACAGCAGCAGGUUGUAAAAGAGUGAGUAAAGAUUGUGUGUUACUUUGGUAUCUGUUUCUACUUGGAAGGCUAAAAGAGAGAAAAAAGAAAGAGACAAAAGUUUCAAUUGUUUCUGAGUUAUCAUUGUGUUCUCAUUCUUUUAGUAAAUUCACAUAAUAAUAUUUGAAUAAAACCGGAACAAAUUCUACUUGAGAACUGCAUGGAACUAAUGAGGAACAAAGAGACCAUGUUACACUCUUUGCUGUCAGAACAAUGGUCUGUUGCUGUUUGAUCUUUUACUUGCAGUUGAUUCCUUCUUUGCCCAAAGAAGCAAGUUAUAUUAUGGUUCAAAGUUCAGUUCAUUGCUUCAACCCUGACAACCUUUUCUGCAGAUUUAAACAGUUAAUAAAGGAAUCACCAUUUGUCUUCCA